rnacentral:rRNA from 1 species
GAUGAACGCUGGCGGCGUGCCUAAUACAUGCAAGUCGAGCGAACAGACGAGGAGCUUGCUCCUCUGACGUUAGCGGCGGACGGGUGAGUAACACGUGGAUAACCUACCUAUAAGACUGGGAUAACUUCGGGAAACGGGAGCAAAUACCGGAGAAUAUAUUGAACCGCAUGGUGCAAUAGUGAAAGACGGUUGUGCGGUAACGUAUAGAGGGAUCCGCGCCGCAUUAGCUAGUUGGUAAGGUAACGGGUUACGAAGGCAACGAGGCGUAGCCGACCUGUGAGGCUGAUCGCCGACCUUGGAACGGAGACACGGUCCAGACUCCUACGGGAGGCCGCAGUCGGGAACCUUCCGCAGUGGGCGAAAGCCUGACGGAGCAACCCCGCGUGUGUGAUGAAGGUCUUCGGAUCGUAAAACUCUGUUAUUAGGUAAGAACAAAUGUGUAAGUAACUAUACCCGUCUUGACGGUACCUAAUCAGAAAGCCCCGGCUAACUACGUG